rnacentral:sRNA from 1 species
UAUGUACGCACAUUACAUGUAUGCCUCGUGUCCUCAGAGACCAGGAGAAGGCAUCAGAUUCCACGGAAUCGGACGGCUGUGAGCUGCCAUAUGGUGGUAGCAGCUGAAUUUGGAGCAGUUAGAGCUCUGACACCCCAGCCAUUUCUACAUUCCCCCUUUAUAGCUUUUACUUGAUUUACUUUAUUAAAAAUAAUAUACUCAACUAAACUGACAUCGAUACCACUCAUGAAACAUUUCAGACCCAUCCAUUUUGUUACAUUCUAUUUCCUGUGUGCAUGUGCCUUAUUGUAUAUAUACAUGCCAUAUAUAUUUUUGUGAAGCAGCCUCUCGUCUAGCCUACCUCGAGCAUGUUAUAUAGCAGAGGAUAACCUUGAACUCCUGAUCCUCCUCUUCCGUCUUCCCACUGUUGAGAUAGUAGACAUGUUCAGAUAUUGAUACAUCUGAUUAAUUUUUAAUUUCAAAUUUCUGUUUUUACUUCCUAUAGAAUUCUUAGUUUGACCUAAGAAGGAAAUACCGGGAUAAAGGAGCCAAGUUCUGAACUACUAUAAAGACCGUUCCUCUGGCUUUACAUUAGUUCGUGGGUGGGAGGCAAACAAACAAACAUCCUGAUUUUGCCAAGAAAAUGAUGGCUUUCCGUGUAUCUGACACACACAUAAACACAUGUCAGUUUUUUCCUGUUUUAGGAAUCACAGUUGAAACGCCCGGCUCCAGGGAGACGGCGCUGACUGGCGCUGACUGGCGUGCGCAUGAAACGGACUUCUGCACAGGAAGAAGCCGCGGCUGGUCCUGACCCUGCCUCGUUUUCUUUUCUGAAACAAAUGCUCUCCAGUAGAUUCCUCUUCAUUUCCUCCUCUGUAGGCGGAGGAGGAGCAAGCGCGGAUUCCUGUCUGCCCUCUGUGCAGAAGGUGAAGCAGAGGCCUGGGAACAGCACGGCGCUCACUGCGGUCAUAUGCUAUACUGUACUUUGGUGCUUAACAACCUUCAUCGAGCUGUCACAGAAGGAUGAUUUCAUCGGGUCCUCGGAUAACCCUGGAUGUGGAUUGUAGAUUCAUUGAAGUCACAGAACUCCAGCUUAGAUUUGUGUCCACAACCCAAGAUCAGAAGCAUGACAAGUGACCAGUUAAUGUCCUUGCAAAAAUGGAUUAAUGAAUUAAUGAAACAAAGACAUUUCAAGAGUUUGUAGAGCAAUUUGCCAAGAAAAGAAUUUUUAAAGUUGGCAGUAUUUCUACAUUUUCUAUUUUAGGUAUCUUCCUCUUCUUAUUUAAAGCUUCCUCCCCUGUGUCAAAUAGCAGUUGUCACACUCAAGUCUAGCAAACCACAGAAAUCUCCAAGAUCCUCUGAGAAGGCUGUGCGAUCACAACAUCUUUCAUGACUUCCUGUUCUCAUUGUAUGACAUUUGCACUGAUGCUGGUGAGAAGCUGGAGCACCUUGGCCUGUCGCAAGAGAUCAUGCAGUGGCACUAGAAGGUGCCACCAUUACGCCGCCCCUUCCCUGCAAUGUGAAGGAAAGAGAAGGAAGAAACUCAAACUUCACCCAAAACCUUCCUAAGGAAGUCAGUGUUAAUUUCAGACGUCUCAGCCUUUGAAGGCAGUGCUCUGAUCUGAAUGGCACAGUAAGGUGUCCAGAAGGUUCCUCUGCAACCUACUGAAGCUUCGUGACUGGUUUUCUCAAAGACACCUGUGUGAGAUGGACUCUGAAGGUGUACUUGGCAUUCCUCCAUGGAAUGCUGUUAGCAUCGGAAACAUCAACUGACAAGCUAUGGUUCUUCAGAGUUGGACAUUGAUUUACUUUUCCUAUUAUUUAUUUAUUUCCUUAUUUAUUUGAGACAGGGUCUCUCUUCUUUCUACUUAGCACUGGCUGUUCUGUAAGUCGCCAGAUAGAGCAGACUGAUUUUGAAAUCACAGAGCUCCACCCGCCUUUGCCUCCCUACUGCUGGAACUAAAGGAGCUGGUGACAUUUUUCUUAAAAGUGAACAAAGUGGGUUUUAAAAAGAAUUACCUUGUUGACAUUCGUCUUUUCAUGAUAAAAUCGCUGUGAUAUCUUAUCUGGAACAUAUCACUGGAUCAGUGAUUGACUAUACUUAACGGGGACAAUAUGCCAAAAUGAAUGUAGAAAUGAUACAAUCUAGGGGUCUUGAAAUGACACGGUCUAGGAGUCUUAUCAUGAUACCAUCUAGGGGUCUUGAUUGGGUUAAUUUUCCCCGCUGGUUAAACAAAUAAAAAGCAGGAAAUAUCUUAAGUACAACAGGUAGCAGCAGAGAAAAUGCAAGCAUCGGCAUUGCAGACAGUUGAAGAGAGGUAUUUAUCAAGGAUGAGGAAGUAAAGACAUGUGCAGACACAACAGAGAAAAAAGACCUCCGACCUGGGAGUGUCCAAAGCCCGGGAAAAGUAUUUCUACUUUCUGAUUGGUCAGUUUGAAGACAGACAGGAUGGCUGAUUGGUCCACAACUGUGGAAAGGGGGUGAACUUGUUGAGUCAGUCCAUCAGAAGAGGGCCUGCCAGUGGGAGGAAACAGCCUAGAGCUUUAGUUUAAGCCGGAAGAGGCUUUUAUUACAAGCGAGGAGAGUGAGGAAGAAGUCAGCCAUCUUGGAAAUAGGCCUCCUUUAUUAGCCCAUUGUGGGUGGUGCUUUCCUAGGAAUAGUGUCCCUGAACAUGCCACAGGGAGCAAUCCAGUAAGCAGCAUCCCUCCGUGGCCUCCUCAUCAGCUCCUGCCUCCAGGUUCCUGCCCUGUUUGAAUUCCUGCCCUAAUUUCCUCCAAUCAUGGAUCAUGAUCUACCCCCUUCCAGUCAUCUGAUGGAAAUCGCUACAUUCCCUUGCAUAUUUUAACCACACUGCAGUCAGAUCUUCUCAUCUUUGGGAUACAGUGAUGAUAGUGGACAGGUGGAAACCUCGUCCUCCAGGCCAUGAUAUUAAGAGAGCAAGCUGCCUUCAUCAAACUCUUUCCUUGCAGUGAGGAUGGACUGCAGGAGUCAGCAUGAAAUGAUUUCCGUACAAUUGAAGAGCUUCAGGAUAUAAGCAAGAAAUCAAAGAGCCAUAUGCAAGUGGAGAAUUUUAGCACUGACAUCUCUCUUUUUAAAGAUAUGCUAAUUGUAAUAAGGUCUUUUUUUUAAAUCAAAGGGUACUUAAAAUAGCUCCCAGCAAAUCUGAGGGUUUGCGAACAAUACUCUUGGUAUUCUAUCUGGUGAGUCAGCUCCUGGGUGACACUCUGCGCUGGGUGUCAUCAGGCGUGACUCUGGGGAUUAGUGCCAAGAGGGUUAAUGUGGUUCAAGUGCUAAGAAGACAGGUCCCCUAUUUUACAGAGUGCUGAAGCAUUUAUGUGGGGAUUUAGAAUACUUUCAGGUGUUCUAUGAAACUCACAAAGUUAUUUUUAAUUCUUCUUAAAGUAGUAGAGAUUCUUAACAAAAGUUUAUCUUAGAGAAGUAAAGAAAGAGCUGUUCACGUUAUAUAGUAUUGAGAACACUGAGAAAGACCACUUAUUCAUUAUUUAUAUGAUACUAACAGCUAACUUUAAAAGCCUUGAUUUUCUUCCAUCAAUAACAUUGUGCAUAAAAACCCAUAUUUUGCUGGUAAGGUUAAAUGAGAUAACAUAUAUGGGACACUUAACAGCAUGCCUUCGUUGCUAUUACAAAUGCCAUAAAGCACAUAGUCAAUAACUGUUCAAUAAAGCUUAGCAUACUCAAGCGAUCCAACUUUUGAGUCUAUGAGCCUUCUCCCUGCCUACAUUGAGCGUCCAUCACCAGGAGUAUGUUUACAUUCAGAGCACCUAGGGCAUGAUAAGAGCUCAAUAAAGUAUAAGAGUCUUUGUUAUUUCUACCAGAUGAACAUGCUAAUUCAUUCAUCAAAUAUUUUGAAAGCAUUUAGGCAUCUCAGUGAUUUGAGGGAAACUAAGGUAGAUUGUCAAAGUUUAGUUAUUUCGGAUAGGAGGAACAUGGCCUUGAAUCAAGGCAGCUGUGUUCACAAGACGUUCCCAAGGUCUAGCCUAUUAACUCCCCAGUAGUAGAGGUAGGGAGACUCAUGAACCAUAUAAGGCUCCCAGAGACAGAGCUCACAGACCCUCCUGGGAUCCACACAAGACCCUUCCCAUUUCUGAAGUUAUAUAAGAUUUAAACAGUUGACUAGGUUAGAAUGCUUUAGUACAAUAGCUAAUGGAAGGGUCCAAGAAUUACUGAAAACCCUAGACUCAAAUAAUAGGCAAAGACAAAGAAAGUUUAUUCUUCAGAAACAGACAGCAUGCAGGGGUCAACCUCGAGGGAAGCCCACAGGCCCCUUUUAAAACCACUUAGGGAUUCUAUAGUUGUGGUUGGGCUUGUGGUGAUAUUUGUACACUUCUGAUUGGUUCAUACCUCGAGGGAGAGAGGAUUACCUUAGAGGGACUUUUCCUAUAUCUGGUGUAAGCUCCUGGCCAGAUGUCAGGGCAGCUGUUGAUUGGUUGCCCUUUUUCUGCAGUUCUUCCAAGAAGCCUGAACUGUCCUUCUGGGAAAUUGAUGCUUAAGUCCUAACAUGGCUCUCUGUUCUAAAAUGAAGUGAGUUAGGUCCUCUUGCUAACUAAGUCACCUGGGGGAUUUUUUUUCAGUGGUCCUGAAGCAUUGUGUUCUAGGUAGGACUCUUUAGCAUAUGCAAGUUCCCCAGAAGACUUCCAAGAAUAUAGCUGCAUUCGAAUUCCCCGUGUUUCUAGGACCAACUCAUUUCUUCAUCAAGUUGGACUUGAAUAGAAUCCUGUCUUUGAUCUGGCAGUGUACUUUGUGUUUAGGAUGAAUAAGCAUUUCUUUAUGACUCUUUAGCCACACAACAAAGAUGUAGUCACUUAUUGAUGUAUAGAUUCAAUUGGUUUGAGGUGAGCUGAAAGUGAGCAGAGAGAUAGGCUAAGAGUUUGAAUUUCAAUAAGAGGUAGAUCAUGGUACUAGGACAGUCCAGGGGUGUUAAAAUUUAGAAAUAGACAACAAAUCAGGGAUUGUAGUUUUCAGAACUUAGAGAUAUUUAUCAGAUAUCCAAGUAGCAGGUCAUAGAGGCAGAGGCAGUUAACAUAUAAAAUAUUUACAUGAGUGUACAUAGAGCUUGACAAAUAAGUGAUGAAUAAAUACUGAAUGAAAAAAUGUAUAGAAAAAACAAGCAAGACCUGCCUUGAGAGCUUAGGGGCUUCAACUCUCAGAACUUGGAGAACCACAAGUGGUCAAGUAAAAGUCCCAGACAUCUUAUUUUGAACCUAUGGCUUUGUAAUUUCACAAUAUGCAUGUCUUAAGCGUGACCCUCAGCCAGUCUGAUCCUUUAAGUAGCAAGCUGCCUGCUUGUUUUCUAGGGCACAUCUCUCCUUUGACUUAAAGACAAGCACAGUUAUCUGAAAGGUGGCUCAGAAGCAAAUGUCAGCCACAUCCUGACUCUUGUCUUGUCUAGACAGCACCUACAUGUGGGGACCAUGAACAAGCACAGAGGGACGCUGAGAACGAGGAAGAGAAGUCAAUGCAUGGGGUUCAUGUCCACUGGUGUGAUCUGAAGCAUGGUUGUGGUUGCCACCAUCAAAGUGCUGUGUGAAGGAUGGAAAUGGGCAUUAGACAACAUAAUAUCACCAGGAGAGUGUAACUUAAAAUCUGUUGUGUGUCACGCACUGUCUUUAAAACUCUGGUGUGGGAGGGCCCCUUUGGUGGAGGAAAAGCAGCUGUAGACUGCAAUAGACCCCAUCAAAUUUCCCCUUGAGUUUGUGACUCCGCUUCAUCUUUGCUUGGUAAGAAUAUAUUUUUAAUGUAUUUAUUAUUUAUUUCUUUACUCACCAGCCUUGUAAUCAAAGCUGACUGCAACACCCAUCUUUGGGUAUAACCACAAAUGUUUAGAAGGUAGUAUGAUGGGGACAGCAUGUCUACUUGGUAAUAACAAGAGUAAUAGCUUCCCCCUGAGAACCAUGACCUGCCAAACAAUGAGACUUUGACCAAGUUCUCAGCACCAGGCAUGAAUCCCUCCUGUGAGUCAGGUCUCAAGUGUAAUCAGAAAGUAAUUGGUUGCUUGCCCAGUAGUCACGCUACUGUUGUAGAAAUGGGUACAUCUUGCCUGGCAGGUCAAUAACAUAGUAUACAGGUGUUGCGUGAAGUUUUAAGCUCUGGACCCAGCCAUGCUACCAGCCCCCACCCAGUGUACUAAUUGUUCUGUGCAUCUUUAACUCUAGGAGGUGAGCGCACUACCAGCAGUCCUCCCAGCUUCCCUUGAAUCCUCCAAUAAAAGACACACACAGUUUGUUCUUUUACAGUUUGCCUUCUUGGGACAACUGUUGGGCGUUACUAUCGCCCGCCUGGAAAAGUAUAUAUACCCUUGCCAAUUUAUUAUCUCUGUCUCUCCACCUGCCCUAAACUUCAGUGGCAAGUCCCACCUAGCCCCUAUAGUAGAGGACAGAUACCCCAGUUUCCCCCACAAAACCUCACAUAAUUGCUGAGUUCUUCCUCCACAGCAUGGCAGAAACCUUCCUCCCUCUCCUUCCUUGUGUCUACCAUUUCCUUUUGGGACCUGUAAGUGCUGACUGUACGUUCCACCCAGCAAUUGGCCCCAGGCUUUCUUUACUGACAAAUCAAGAACCAAUUGGGGAGCAGGACCUUAGCACUAGAACCACUCCCAUCAUACAGGAGUCAUAGUUCUGCAAGAUUUUUUUUUAUUACAUUUCUCCUCCAGAGCAGGCUGAAUAGCAACUUUCUGGACUAUGGAAGCAGGGGCUGGGGGGUUGGAGGUGAUGGUGGGCUACAGAUCAAUGGGAAGGAUCUGAAGUGAAGAUUAGAAAUUUCUGAUCAACCAGCCACUUCAGGUAGAGCCAGCAUUGCACAUUUUAUAGUGCUCCCAGGAUGAUUGCAAUGGAUAACCAGAUGGGGAGAGCCACGGAUAGAAAGUUCCAGAUAUAAACACUAGGUUGUGGCUACAUGGACCACAUCUCUCUAGUCUCCCCAUCUGGAUAACAUUAAAUAUCCAGUGACCAUCUGGUUAGAUCAUCCCCGGACUUAUACCAUUCUUUAGAUGGCUCAGAUCUCAAUGUCUAAUGUCAUUGCAGCCUCUGAUCCUAAUCAUCCUUCUGAUGUUGGUUUGCCUUGCCACCCUUUUCUUCCCCUUCAGUAACAGCUUUGGAAGAUACACCUUGAGAUGCCCCACUACAGGCGAAAGGAUCCUGCACCACUGGAUCGUGGAUGGAGUGGAGUUCCAGACACAUAUCAGCACUCCCCGGACAAGAAAUAAACAAAUGCAAAAGCGCUUGAUCCCCUAAAAGAAACAGCACACCGGGAAGAGAACCAACUCCAAUUAGAGGACAGCAGCUUCUGUCAGCCGGCCACCAGCAGCUGCAGCUCAAAGUUGGAAAAACGCUGAAAUUAUACAUCCAAGAAUAAUGUCUGGCACUUUAUCAUGUGUAACAAUAUACUAUGCGGCCCCCUUUUAAACUGUAGAGUAGUAGCUAAUGGGAAGAACUUGAAGUAUGAUUAAAACUCCAGGUGAUUACAGUGCGAUACAAUUCUGCAACUGUUUUAGUUAGGAUGAAGACCCACAGGAGAGUUUCUAUAUGUACUCGCCACAGUGGGCACCCCAGGGUGUUGAUAUUGGGGCAACUCUGAAUGAAAGGGCAUGUACUGUUUUGUUAAUCAUCUGGGGGGAACGUUGUUUUAAAAAUUCAUCUUUAGGAGAAAAGAAUCAACACGGAGAUCUAUUACCUGGGAGGUUUCUGACACUCUUCUAGACACAAUGUCUACUAUUGUGCUUGUGUUCCGUACCUAGCCACCAGUUCCUCAAUUAAACAAAAUCAGCCUUGAGCUUAUCUGAGCUUGUCUUAUCUGAGUCCUUGUGAGGUCUUAAGAUAUUAUCCUUGAUUCUUAGACAGCAGGCUGAACAUUCUCAGUCUGCUGCUCAUAACUGUGUUAGAGAACAGAAAAGACUCCGGUUUAGGGACAUAGCCGUGCAGGAAGCAAGUUGUAGCAGACAAUGGAAACUAUCUUGUAAUCUCAGCUGUGAAAAGAACUCGAGUAAUUAAGAAAACGUUUUGUUCCCCAAGGUCUGGCUCCCCUGUUUGUUCGCUGGAAUGACUUGGCGUUUCUGGAGUUCACAACAGGCCAGAGACUGGUUCGUUAGCACUAAUCUGAUUAAGACUUGUGUUUCUUUGUUCUGUGUGUCCUCAGGUGGCAAUUUUGGCUGAACAUCUCACAUUUUUGCCUUGUGCCUAGGUACAGAAACAUAGCUUCGCCUGUGCGUUACGUAAGAAGGUCACAGAUCUCAGGCCUCGGUCUGCAGUGCUGAGCGCUUUUCUUUCCAAACUACCUUCACAUGUGAAUUUUACUGACCCUCAGGCCAUAGCACUGCAGAGCACUUAGGUACAAGCAGAGGCCGGCAUUGUCCCAGAGAAACUGACAGGGGGACAAACCAUUCCUUUUAAACUCCAUAGAAAAGUUUUCCCAAGUGUAUGUACAAAAUUAGUGUAUAAAUUUAAAUACUGCAAAUUGAAAUAAUGUAUUAAGAUAUGUGUAUACAGUUAAAUAGCUAGAAAUAAAUUUAUGAAAACUUUCUCUAAA